CAGAGAUGAAUUGACAGAUAUGUGGGUGGAUACAGAAAGUAUGGGUUCAAGGGAAUGACUGAUGGGUCAGGACUAAGAGGGCUGCUUGGCUGGAGAUGGAUGCUUGGAGACCCUGGAGAGGCAGGUGAAUGAACGAGCACUGAUUGGCCCUGUGUUCUCCUGAGCCAUUCACAACACAGGCCUGGACUCUUCAAAGCAGAGACUCUGUUUAUCCCAUCCCCAAAUGAGUUCAGCAUUUGUAACUGAGUGAUGGAUGUGUCUUGCUGGGAAGAAGUCUUCUAGGUCUAAUAUUGCCUGGUUAAUGACUUAUGGAUUGUUGUAAAGUCUGGCACCACAAGAAGUGCAGCCAGGAGUUGAAGGCCUUGGAACAGAUUUCAUAAUAAUAAUACCGCAUUUCAUCAGCUAGGUGUUGCGCAGAGCCCUUUCCUGGAGGGAGCCUCGCUGCCGUUGCUCAAGGCUGUUACUACCCCACUCUGCGGAUAAGAACCUGAGGCUCAGAGGGGGAGACACUGUACCUUACUUCCGAGUGUGGAGGUGGAUUGUCUGGCAGGAAAUCUCAGCCUUUGAUUUUAUAGUCUCUUAGUGAAGAGAAAAAUUCAAGUGUAGAUGGAUAGAAGGAAGGCCACAGGGACCUAGUUCUAGACCUCUAAGAAGUGCUGUGGCAUUUGGUGCAUGGGAAACCUUUUGUUUGGACUGAGCUACUGUGACUAUUCUAAUGACAGUGUCCCAGAGCCAACCCCAAAUUUUCCCCCUUUCUCUUCUCUGCAUCUUCCUGGAACAGCAGAGAUGGGUACAUCUGGUUUGCCUUCCUCUGUCUGGUUUCUACCUGUUCUCCUGCCAUUCAGGAGCAGUCGGGAGCUGGGGUGUGUUUCUCCUUCCACAGAGGGAAGGAAGUCAGCCCUUAGCUUGGAGGGGCAUCCAGCCACUCGGAGGGUAGGAGUUUUUGUUGCUGCUCUGGGACUGGCCAUGCGAGAGGAGCUACCUUUAUGAUAAUGAGAGGCCUCAGUUGGAUUUUCUUCUUCCUCACAAACUGGUGUGGUGGCAUGGAUGGGCUCUGAGCAGAGCUCCCUAGGAAUGGUGGCAGAUUCUCCUUGCUCCCCUCCUUGCUAGCUCCUGACCUGCCUCCUUACUCCCAGCUGCCCAGGGGUCUCCUAGAGAGGGUGCCUCUGUCUUGGAGUGCUUCCAGGAUCAAGCGUGUGGUUCUUUUUGUCACUUGGUGGGAGGAAUCAGUUCCACCCACUUAGUCUUAAAACCGUGGUCGCAUGCUUCUGAAACAGUGGAGCUUUCUGGGGAAGGAAGUGGGGAGUCGUACCCUGGCCUGAGGUCUUCAAAAGAGCCAGGGGCAGUGUGACCCCGAGGAGGACCCACGGGGUCGCAGAAUCUAUGGUUCUCAGUCUCCCUGUCUGCAAAGCAUGCGGCAGAACUAGAAGACCUCUCAGGUGCCUUGGCACUAGCUGCUUGGGGAGUCUGUUAGUGCUGAUGGAGACUGUCUAGAAAAGUGCCGUGGCUUCCAGCAGCCUCUGCUCUGUGCGGCCCAGCCGACCUCAUGCCUACCCAGCUCUAUUUACUUUAUUUAUAUCUUUGGCAAUGAUGCCCCGUGAGCACUAUGUUGAACCUGGCAUAUGCCAGGGCCAGGGAGCUGGCCUCUGCCCCUUGAUGGCUAUUUGUGGUCCUGCUGUCUCUUUCUCACUUACCUGCAGCAUCCCAGGGCAGACAGUGCACACCUCUGGUUGUUCCAGGCACAACUGUUGAGGAGCAUGGGAGCUUUGACAUCAAAUAGAACCUGGCUCCAUCAUCAAUUGUGGUAUUUAUUAAUAAUGAGAUCUCUGAUUUAUAGGAGGUGCACUCCAUGCCAGACACUGUGGCAAGUUUAAUACAAUAACUGUGAGGUAUCCGUUACUGCUAAAACUCAAGUUUAAUAAAUGUAAGCUUCAUACUCAUUUUAGAGACGAGAAACUGAGAUUCAAGUAUAUUUUACCUACUUUAAAUCUUAAAUACUUUAAAUCUUAAAUAUCUUUUUUUUUUCCUCUAGGGGCUGAGCACUCUGGCCCACCCUACCUAAAGUAACAGUUUGCCUCUACCCAGGUGCUCACAAACUCCCUUAAUGUCUCCCCUCUUCCCCCACUCAGGAUUUUCUAACACACAAGACUUUUACCGUCAUGUUUAUACGAGCAUGCCUUGCCAAAUGUCAACAUGGAAGAGAUGUUGCCAGUGUUGUUCACCGAUAAAUAUCCAAAGCCACUAGAAUAAUGUGCAGCACAUAGUGGUCUGUAUUUGAUUAUCAGUGACCAGUUGGUUACAUAACUCCCUCAGGUGCAAAUUACCUGGAAACUGAAAGCACACAGCUUAGGAACCCAAGCUGCAGAGUAGACAGUUUGGGGUCUAAAUUACAUCGUCAGCCACUUCAGUGAACUCUGACCCUGUGUAGCUUGUUCUUCCCAAGCCUCAGUUUCCUUGGUAAUAGAGUAGACCAGUAACAUUUGCCUUUCAGGAUGGAGUAAGGAUUAAUGCAGACAUCUAUGCAGUUUUUGGCAUAUAGUGGGCAUUCCGUAAAUGUUAACUUCUCCCCGAGGAUGCUCUUGUGUCUUCUUGCUUCUCAUUUCUCCUCUGAUGGUCUACCCUCUGACUGAACCACUGUUCCACAGUGCUGUGUAAGAGGGCAGAGCUGCUGAGGGCAGAGGACAGUGGGAUUAUCUGUCCUGUUAACUAGCCCUAGCUGCCUGCCUCCUUCUUCCUCCUUCCAGGAUGUUCCUGUUGCCAAGGAAACACAACCUCAGCCCUUGGCAGGUUUCUGACUCCCUGUGGCUUGGCUACUGAGCUUACAAAAGGAAUGAGACAGCGGUGACCAUGGGCAGAGAGGUACUCAGUUUGUCUCCAAGGAGAGUCCAGUCUCAGGAAAAUGAGCAGCCAACUCCCCAUUCCCUCUGAGGAUCCUGCUCCCAGGAGGGGUCUCACAGAACAUGAAGGCUGUGGAGUCGGGUGAUGCCAGUGGAAAGGAUGCUGAGACAGGACCGGGCAUCAUCCCUGCCUGUUAAAAAGCGGGUCUAGCAGCAGCUGUCCCUGCCCUGGCUACUGCCAGACUCCAGCCUAGGGGAAGGCUUCCAGGAGAUUCCAGAAUUCCAAAUUGAGGUGCUGAUGCUGUGUUGGUGGUGGGCAAGCCUGCUGAUGUCGGCAAGGCUGGACCGUGAGACUACGUGGGUGCCGAUACUGUGAGACAAGGACACUCCUGAUCAGCUCAGGCCUCUCCAAUCCCUUUUCCUAGAAGGUUUCCAAUUUGCCACCAGAGGCUGUAGGAAGAAGGGCCCUUCCUCCUGGAUCCACCCACCCUGCAUCAAGGAGGCAAGCAGAAGCUGUGUGAGGCCAGAGCAGUCAAAUGACUGGAAGAAAGAGUCUGGUGAUUCUGUUCUGUGCGCUGGGCAAGGGUGCAGACAUCUCACAUUAAGUGUCCCGACACCCAGAGGUGUGUCUCGUCACCACCGCCUUCUUAGCCGAGAAAUAACAAAUUGCAUAUGUUUAUCACAUGCAACAUGGUUUUGGGGAACGCAUAUGCUAUGAAAUGGCUAGAAUGGGCUAAUUAGCAUAUGCAUGAUCUCACAUAUUUAUUAUUUAAAUUUCUCGAACACUUAGAAUCUAUCUUCUUGGCAUGGCGCAAGAAUAUAAUAGAUUGUUAUUAACUGCGGUCACUGUAGUGUACAAUAGAACUCCUGAACGCACUUGUCCAGUGUAA